UACGUAGGGUGCGAGCGUUGUCCGGAAUUAUUGGGCGUAAAGAGCUCGUAGGCGGUCUGUCGCGUCGGCUGUGAAAUCCCGAGGCUCAACCUCGGGUCUGCAGUCGAUACGGGCAAACUUGAGUGCUGCAGGGGAGACUGGAAUUCCUGGUGUAGCGGUGAAAUGCGCAGAUAUCAGGAGGAACACCGGUGGCGAAGGCGGGUCUCUGGGCAACAACUGACGCUGAGGAGCGAAAGCGUGGGGAGCGAACAGG
rnacentral:rRNA from 1 species